UAUUUGCAUUCCAAAUAUUCCAAAUUAAGUUUUUGAAUAUAAUCUGAUUAUGGGGUGCCUUAAAGCUAGUGGAAUCGCAAUUACCAUAAUCAGUGUUCUCUUCACGCAUUUUCUAUUUAUCGAAUUCUGCAUUGAGAGGACAAAUCUUUGGAAUCUGACAAAUAAUCUUUCUGUUACAUCUAUAGUACUUCUGGGUAACAGCUUUAGUUUAAUUCUUAACAUGUUUGUCUUGGCACGCAUAAUCAAGAACGAUCCUUUCGGAGUCAAACUACGGAGCUCUUGCUUCGCUUCUUAUCUUGGCUAUUUAUUAUAGAAUACUUUCGGGAAUAAUAUACACAAUUAGUUUCUUUUUUAUAGUUUACCUCUUUAUUUCAACUAUUAUAAUGGGUUUCCUUCAAAGGAAUCUUCAAAGAAAACAGAAUGUGACAUUUGAGACUCAAAUCGAUGACUCUUAAAGCUAAUGAAAAUUAUGAUAUUACUUUACAAUUACAACUUAUUUUCAACAUUUCAA